AUUGAACGCUGGCGGCAUGCUUUACACAUGCAAGUCGAACGGUAACAGGGUGCUUGCACCGCUGACGAGUGGCGAACGGGUGAGUAAUGCGUCGGAACGUGCCGAGUAGUGGGGGAUAACGCAGCGAAAGUUGUGCUAAUACCGCAUACGUACUGAGGUAGAAAGUGGGGGACCUUCGGGCCUCACGCUAUUCGAGCGGCCGACGUCUGAUUAGCUAGUGGGUGAGGUAAGGCUCACCUAGGCGACGAUCAGUAGCGGGGCGGAGAGGAUGAUCCGCCACACUGGGACUGAGACACGGCCCAGACUCCUACGGGAGGCAGCAGUGGGGAAUUUUGGACAAUGGGCGAAAGCCUGAUCCAGCCAUGCCGCGUGUCUGAAGAAGGCCUUCGGGUUGUAAAGGACUUUUGUCAGGGAGGAAAUCCCUAGUGCUAAUAACACUGGGGGAUGACAGUACCUGAAGAAUAAGCACCGGCUAACUACGUGCCAGCAGCCGCCGUAA
rnacentral:rRNA from 1 species